CAGUAGCCACGGUAAUACGUAGGUGGCAAGCGUUGUCCGGAAUUAUUGGGCGUAAAGCGCGCGCAGGUGGUUUAAUAAGUCUGAUGUGAAAGCCCACGGCUCAACCGUGGAGGGUCAUUGGAAACUGUUAAACUUGAGUGCAGGAGAGAAAAGUGGAAUUCCUAGCGUAGCGGUGAAAUGCGUAGAGAUUAGGAGGAACACCAGUGGCGAAGGCGGCUUUUUGGCCUGUAACUGACACUGAGGCGCGAAAGCGUGGGGAGCAGACAGGAUUAGAUACCCGGGUAGUCCCUGUCUCUUAUAC
rnacentral:rRNA from 1 species